rnacentral:rRNA from 1 species
CCUACGGGAGGCAGCAGUGAGGAAUAUUGGUCAAUGGGCGUAAGCCUGAACCAGCCAAGUCGCGUGAGGGAUGAAGGUUCUAUGGAUCGUAAACCUCUUUUAUAAGGGAAUAAAGUGUGGGACGUGUCCUAUUUUCUAUGUACCUUAUGAAUAAGGAUCGGCUAACUCCGUUCCAGCAGCCGCGGUCAUACGGAGGAUCCGAGCCUUAUCCGGAUUUAUUGGGUUUAAGGGGUGCUUAGGCGGCCUUUUAAGUCAGCGGUGAAAGUCUGUGGCUCAACCAUAGAAUUGCCGUUGAAACUGGCGGGCUUGAGUAUGUUUGAGGCAGGCGGAAUGCGUGGUGUAGCGGUGAAAUGCUUAGAUAUCACGCAGAACCCCGAUUGCGAAGGCAGCCUGCCAAGCCAUGACUGACGCUGAUGCACGAAAGCGUGGGGAUCAAACAGGAUUAGAUACCCGAGUAGUC